rnacentral:rRNA from 1 species
CCUACGGGGGGCAGCAGUGGGGAAUAUUGGACAAUGGGCGAAAGCCUGAUCCAGCCAUGCCGCGUGUGUGAAGAAGGCCUUCGGGUUGUAAAGCACUUUCAGUGGGAAGAAAGCCUUGGGGCUAAUACCCUCGAGGAAGGACAUCACCCACAGAAGAAGCACCGGCUAACUCCGUGCCAGCAGCCGCGGUAAUACGGAGGGUGCGAGCGUUAAUCGGAAUUACUGGGCGUAAAGCGCGCGUAGGCGGUCUGAUAAGCCGGUUGUGAAAGCCCCGGGCUCAACCUGGGAACGGCAUCCGGAACUGUCAGGCUAGAGUGCAGGAGAGGAAGGUAGAAUUCCCGGUGUAGCGGUGAAAUGCGUAGAGAUCGGGAGGAAUACCAGUGGCGAAGGCGGCCUUCUGGACUGACACUGACGCUGAGGUGCGAAAGCGUGGGUAGCAAACAGGAUUAGAUACCCUGGUAGUC